AUGGCGGCUUCCCUCCGCGCGGCGGCCAAGAGGAUGCUGCGCCCGGCGGUGCAUCCAGGGGAGGGGCUUCGCACCCAGCACCAGCAGCAUUCCGGAACCCCCCGUGCCUUGGAUGAAGGAUACAACCAUGCAUCGCAAAUCCAGCAGAAGAAGGAGGAGUUGUACAAUCUCAUCGCCAAGGCUGUGGCGGAGCCCACUACCACCUGGCUGGACAGGCGACUGCUCAAGGCUCUCUCCUUGCAAAUCAAGCCUAGACCAAAGGACCCUCAGUGGCGCAAGAUAAUUUUGACCAAGGUGGCCACCCAUUGUACAUAUGCUGUGGGUAUUCUUGUUGCUUAUGUCAGAUGUCCUCGCACUGAAGACGGUGCUAAAAUAGUAAGGUACGAUGGACAUCUUGUUACUGUUGAGAGUCUGCCCAUGCUACAAGGAUAUCAGCCUGCUACUCCUGCUGAGGGAGUGCCCAAGCAAAUGAGUUGA
rnacentral:rRNA from 1 species